rnacentral:rRNA from 1 species
UGGCCGCGGUAACUUGACCGUGCAAAGGUAGCAUAAUUAUUAGUCUUUUAAUUGAAGGCUUGAAUGAACGAUUGGAUGAAAAAUAAACUUUAUUAAUAUAAAUUAUUUAAAUUAUUAUUUAAGUAAAAAUUCUUAAAUACAUAAGUGGGACGAGAAGACCCUAUAGAGUUUUAUUUUUUUUAUUGUUAUUAAAUUGAAGAAUUAAUAUUUUUUUAAUAGAUAAAAAUAUUUUAUUGGGGUGAUAUUAAAAAUUAUUUAACUUUUAAUUCAUAUUUCAUUAAUAUAUGUUUAAUUGAUCCAAAAUAUUUUGAUUAUAAGAUUAAAUUACCUUAGGGAUAACAGCGUUAUUAGUUUGGAGAGUUCAAAUCGAUAAAUUAGUUUGCGACCUCGAUGUUGGAUUAAGAAUAUAUUUUAAAGCAGUAUUUAAAAUUGUAGGUCUGUUCGACCUUU